rnacentral:rRNA from 1 species
CGGGAAACCGGAGCUAAUACCGGAUAAUAUUCGAACCGCAUGGUUCGAUAGUGAAAGGUGGUUUUGCUAUCACUUAUAGAUGGACCCGCGCCGUAUUAGCUAGUUGGUAAGGUAACGGCUUACCAAGGCGACGAUACGUAGCCGACCUGAGAGGGUGAUCGGCCACACUGGAACUGAGACACGGUCCAGACUCCUACGGGAGGCAGCAGCG